UACGUAGGGUGCGAGCGUUGUCCGGAAUUAUUGGGCGUAAAGAGCUUGUAGGCGGUUUGUCGCGUCUGCUAUGAAAAUCCAGAGCUCAACCCCGGACUUGCAAUAAAUAGGAACAAACUAGAGUGUAAUAGGGGAGACUGGAAUUCCUGGUGUAGCGGUGAAAUGCGCAGAUAUCAGGAGGAACACCGAUGGCGAAGGCAGGUCUCUGGGCCACUACUGACGCUGAGAAGCGAAAGCAUGGGGGGCGAACAGG
rnacentral:rRNA from 1 species